rnacentral:rRNA from 1 species
GUAGGGAAUAUUGGGCAAUGGUCGGAAGACUGACCCAGCCAUGCCGCGUGCAGGAAGACGGCCCUCUGGGUUGUAAACUGCUUUUAUCUGGGAAGAAAAAGGCCAUGCGUGGCAAAUUGCCGGUACCAGAUGAAUAAGCACCGGCUAACUCCGUGCCAGCAGCCGCGGUAAUACGGAGGGUGCGAGCGUUGUCCGGAUUUAUUGGGUUUAAAGGGUGCGUAGGCGGCUGAUUAAGUCAGCGGUGAAAGACUUCGGCUUAACAGGAGCAGUGCCGUUGAUACUGGUUGGCUUGAGUGUCGGAGGGGUACAUGGAAUUGAUGGUGUAGCGGUGAAAUGCAUAGAUACCAUCAGGAACACCGAUAGCGAAGGCAUUGUACUGGCCGACAACUGACGCUGAUGCACGAAAGUGUGGGGAUCGAACAGGAUUAGAAACCCUGGUAGUCC